UACAUAGGGGGCAAGCGUUAUCCGGAAUUAUUGGGCGUAAAGCGUGCGUAGGUGGCAAAUUAAGUCUGACCUGAAAUUUCACGGCUUAACUGUGAAGGGUGGUUAGAAACUGGUUAGCUUGAAUCCAAGAGAGGUAAGUGGAAUUCCAUGUGUAGCGGUAAAAUGCAUAGAUAUAUGGAGGAACACCAGCGGCGAAGGCGGCUUACUGGCUUGGCAUUGACACUGAGGCACGAAAGCGUGGGUAG
rnacentral:rRNA from 1 species